rnacentral:rRNA from 1 species
AGCGAACGUUGGCGGCGCGCCUAACACAUGCAAGUCGAGCGAGAACGGAUCCUUCGGGUCUAAGUAAAGCGGCGAACGGGUGAGUAACACGUGGGUAACCAACCCUUUGGACGGGGGACAACCUCGGGAAACCGGGGCUAAUACCGCGUAAGACCUAUUCUUCUCCGGAAGGAAGGGUGAUAGAGGGCCUCUCCAUGGAAGCUCUCGACAAAGGACGAGCCCGCGGCCCAUCAGCUUGUUGGUGGGGUAAUAGCCCACCAAGGCUACGACGGGUAGCUGGUCUGAGAGGAUGAUCAGCCACACUGGAACUGAGACACGGUCCAG